rfam:Eutrema salsugineum unplaced genomic scaffold scaffold_17, whole genome shotgun sequence.
AAACUAUGAUGAGGUCAGUCUUUCUCAUACUCCUUAAAUUGCUCCCAUGUCUCGAAGAAAUACUCUACAAGGCCUUGUUGGAAACUUUGGAUCUUGUUUCUCAACU